ensembl:lncRNA
UUUCUGCCAGACAGACACAAACUGAGACUUGAAAAUGUGUACGUAAUGUGUACGAGACGUAAAAAUGUGUACUUUCUUAUUGAUACUGAAAUGCCUUCACAUCCUAGCUUAACUUACCAGGAACUUAAAACACUAUAUUGUGAAGGUUCUAUCUGGAUUGAGAAUUAAUUGAUUUGGAUCACAUGGGAACAGGCUGUUGAGGAGUUGAAUGGUGCAGUUGAAGAUAAGGAGGAAGCUCUCAAAGUAGAUGCUGCUGCUGAAGUUAAGUUGGCCUACUGUCCACCUGGAUGGCUUAAAUAUGAAUCACUCUCCUUUCAACAUGAGAUCAAUUCUGUCCUGGCUCAAUGCUGAGGCCCAAGCAAAUGCUAAAGCGUCUUCUGCUCAGUGUUCCUGGGAUAAGCUCUGGAUCCACCAUGACCCUGACAAGGAUAAAAUGGUUACUGAAAAUGAAUGAAUGAAAAAUGCCAAAUGGGGCAUGUGUGGUGCAGCUCGAUUGACCCGCAAUCAGUGUGUAACGCCUAACUGUACUGCGCUUGCAACCAAUCACUGAUCACCAUUGUUCCCCAUGACCAGUUACUGAUUACCACUGUUUUCCAAUGACCAAUCACUGAUCACAACUGUCAGUCCCACCCUUGCAUUUAUUUGUUCUUCUUUUUAAACUUCCUUCUUGCAGAUAUAGUAAUAAACAUUUCCCUACUAUUCAAUUUUCACAAAUACUCAGUCAGCACAUCUUUUUUGUUCUUUUAUAGUAUUUUGUAAAUGUACUUAGUUCAAAGAUGACUUGUUUAUGUAAGAAAUAACUUCUAAUCUACUUUUACCUAUUAUUUUUACCUAAA